GGUCUUCAGGGCAGGGUGAAAUUCCCGACCGGCGGUAAAGUCCGCGAGCGCUUUUGCGCAGGAAUCGGUGCAAUUCCGAUACCGACAGUAAAGUCUGGAUGGAAGAAGACG
rnacentral:ncRNA from 1 species